rnacentral:antisense_RNA from 1 species
AUGCUUUUGUUGGAGCCUGAAUGCAAGAGCCAUUCUCACUGGGAUGCCACAGCUCUGGAGACUUCUCAUAGAUGGUGUUUGGAACACUCCAGGCUUGGAGAUGGGCCUUUAGACACUGCCUGUAGUACUGCUUAGCAACAGCUCUACAGACAUAAAGAGAUUGCAGUGGCUGCUCCCUCCUGGCUCCAUCAUUCAGUAAGAGCUCCACAGAGGUUGAAGAGAUCCUCCUGGCUUGGCGGACUACUCUGCUCUGAUGGAAGUACUAUGCUGGUCCAAACAUGAAAUAAUUCCCAACAUCAAGACUGAUUGAAACAUAUUCAGUGGAUCAUUUGCUCCAGGAGAAGCUGGUUGCCAUGUCUUGAGGACAGUAAACUCUCUGGGGAGGUUCCUGUGGUAAGGAACCAGGGCUCCUGGUAAUAGCCUCUGAGUGAGCCACCUUGAGAAUGGAUUGUCCAGCCCCAGUCAAGCUUUCAGAUGACUGUAGCCCCUGCCAGUGUCUUCACCACAAUCUCAUGAGAUCCCAAGCUACAACCACUCAGUUAAGUUAUUCCAAAAUUCCUGACUCACAGAAAUUGAGAUACAGAAGAGGUCACAGUUAAGAUCUUGAUGUUCUAUCUUGACCCAUAAUAUAGGAACUUCACCUUUUCAGAAGCACCAGGGAGAGCUGCCUGUGCCUGGCAGAAGCUGCCCAUGCCCCACUGAUAACCCUACAGUACUUCCUGUUCUGCUCAGUACUCCUGCUUCUUUCUACAAACAACUGUGAUUCUCCACCUGGGAGCUUCCUCUGGCCGCAGGAGCCUGCUCACCUGAUUGGGACACUCCAGCAGUACUGGUGAUAGAUGCCUGCAUUGACUUUUUUCCCUGCUGUGCCUUUCUUUCCACUCCCCUGCCAGUGCUUCCUGGAAUCAUCUCCCUCAUCAAUCUUUUGUUCCCAAAUUCUCUCUGAGUCUUUACCAAAAUCAUAGGCUUACUGUAAAAUGAUUUUUCAAUUAGUAGCUUUUCACCAUAACUUUUUUUGGGUAAUUUAUACCACUUUUUGGAUGACUCUUCUUGUUUAUGCUUUCACCUGAAAACAUACAAAAUAAAUAUAAUCUAAAAAUAAUAUUUUUUAUUUUAGACAAGAACACACUCAGAAAUUUUCUCAACACAAUUUCUAUGCAGAGAAGAGAUGUGGGACAGAUUUGAAUUGCUGUCAUACUUGUAUGAACCCAAGACAUUUUCCAAAACCAAGGAUAAAGACAGCAAUUUCUAUGACUCUGGCAUUUUACAUACAUGCACUGUUUGCAAGUGUUCUUGUGUUCUGUGCCUUAAACUUUCUCUGUUGCAGCUUAUGAACUGAAUUAAAGAUAAUCGCAAGCCCACAAUUGUCUCAAAAAGUGAAAAAGUAAAUGUUAUAGGAAGAAAAGCGGGAAAAACUUUAAGCAUGAAAUAAAAGAUGGUUGUGAUAAAAGAGGACUGAAGAGGGAAAAGGAAUGAAAGGUUCUGCCAUCCUUCAUGGCAGCCCACUCCACUUGGUAUGAGAUACUGCCCCCCUGACUGAAAGUUAACUGCUAUACUCCCUCUGCUUUCUAUAAAUGACUCCCUGUGCCUUUCCUCCACCACACAACUCAUACUCUCUUCCUUCCUAGUGAGUCCACUAAGCCUUCAUUGCAUUAUUACAUUUAUUUCAUUUAUGAGAAACUGACUUUAUUUUACUUCAAAUUGUUUUUUAUUGUUUAUAUGAGCUUGGUUUUAUUGUCAUUCUAUUUUUCUCCAUGAAAAUAGAGAAAAAUAGGGUUGAAAGUUUAGGUUGGGUGGAAAGGAAUUAUAUGUUUUCCCACUAAAAUUGAUGUAAAUAUUGUUUUCAAUUGAAUGAUUUUACACACUGGCACAGUUUCAGGUAUGUUGCUAAGCAGGAAAGUUGUUAAGCAAAGCAUGAAUGUAUUCAGGAGAUGUAUGCAGAAUGACAUGCAAGGUUAUCUAUGAUUGCUGAGUGAGAAAGAGCAAGUUGCUGAGUAUUAUGUAAGUAUGAUCUCACUUUUGU